rnacentral:rRNA from 1 species
GAUCGAACGGCGUAGCUACAGGCUUAACACAUGCAAGUCGCGGGGCGAGCGAUAGGAGGGUUGCUUGCAAUUCUUGAUGGCGACCGGCGUACGGGUGAGUAACGCGUAUCCAACCUGCCCAUCACUACGGAAUAACCCGGUGAAAGUCGGACUAAUACCCUAUAUGCUCACGAGAGGCACCUGCCUUGGUGAGGAAAGAUUUAUCACUGACAGAUGGACAUGCGUCCCAUUAGCUUGUUGGUAGGGUAACGGCCUACCAAGGCAACAAUGGGUAGGGGAACUGAGAGGUUUAUCCCCCACAUUGGUACUGAGACACGGGCCAA